rnacentral:rRNA from 1 species
GACGAACGCUGGCGGCGUGCCUAAUACAUGCAAGUCGAGCGCAGGAAACUGACGGAACUCUUCGGAGGGAAGGCAGUGGAAUGAGCGGCGGACGGGUGAGUAACACGUAAGGAACCUGCCUCAAGGAUUGGGAUAACUCCGAGAAAUCGGAGCUAAUACCGGAUAGUUCAACGGACCGCAUGGUCCGCUGAUGAAAGGCGCUCCGGCGUCACCUUGAGAUGGCCUUGCGGUGCAUUAGCUAGUUGGUGGGGUAACGGCCCACCAAGGCGACGAUGCAUAGCCGACCUGGGAGGGUGAUCGGCCACACUGGGACUGAGACACGGCCCAGACUCCUACGGGAGGCAGCAGUAGGGAAUCUUCCACAAUGGACGAAAGUCUGAUGGAGCAACGCCGCGUGAGUGAUGAAGGUUUUCGGAUCGUAAAACUCUGUUGUAAGGGAAGAACACGUACGAGAGGAAAUGCUCGUACCUUGACGGUACCUUACGAGAAAGCCACGGCUAACUACGUGCCAGCCGCCGCAGUAAGAC